rnacentral:rRNA from 1 species
UACACUCCUGCGGGAGGCAGCAGUGGGGAAUAUUGGACAAUGGGGGCAACCCUGAUCCAGCCAUGCCGCGUGAGUGAUGAAGGCCCUAGGGUUGUAAAGCUCUUUUGUGCGGGAAGAUAAUGACGGUACCGCAAGAAUAAGCCCCGGCUAACUUCGUGCCAGCAGCCGCGGUAAUACGAAGGGGGCUAGCGUUGCUCGGAAUCACUGGGCGUAAAGGGUGCGUAGGCGGGUCUUUAAGUCAGGGGUGAAAUCCUGGAGCUCAACUCCAGAACUGCCUUUGAUACUGAGGAUCUUGAGUCCGGAAGAGGUGAGUGGAACUGCGAGUGUAGAGGUGAAAUUCGUAGAUAUUCGCAAGAACACCAGUGGCGAAGGCGGCUCACUGGUCCGGUACUGACGCUGAGGCACGAAAGCGUGGGGAGCAAACAGGAUUAGAAACCCUAGUAGUCCCAUG